rnacentral:tRNA from 3 species
UGCAUUCAUAGCUCAAUUGGAUAGAGCAGUGGACUUCGAAUCCGAAGGUUGCAGGUUCGAGUCCUGCUGAGUGCGAAAA